rnacentral:rRNA from 1 species
AUUGGACAAUGGGGGCAACCCUGAUCCAGCCAUGCCGCGUGUGUGAAGAAGGUCUUCGGAUGGUAAAGCACUCUAUGUUGGGAGGAAGGGCUUUAGGCUAAUACCCUGAAGUUUUGACGUUACCAACAGAAUAAGCACCGGCUAACUUUGUGCCAGCAGCCGCGGUAAUACAGAGGGUGCAAGCGUUAAUAGGAAUUACUGGGCGUAGAGCCGGGGUAGGUGGUUCAGUAAGAUGGGUGUGAAAUCCCCGGGCUUAACCUGGGAACUGCUUUCAUAACUGCUGAGCUAGAGUACGGUAGAGGGUAGUAGAAUUUCCUGUGUAGCGGUGAAAUGCGUAGAUAUAGGAAGGAACACCAGUGGCGAAGGCGACUACCUGGACUGAUACUGACACUGAGGUGCGAAAGCGUGGUGAGCAAAC